AAAGUAACGUGUAGCCAAGGACAACUUGCCGAUCAUGUUACUUUUUCUUUUUGGUUUUAUAUAUCUUGUAUUUUAUACGGAAUAAUAUAUCCUAAUUUCUUCCUGAAUCCUUCAAAAACCAAAAAAAAAAAAAAAGUUUGAAACUAAAUUGUCUUAAUAGAGUAUAAAGAAAGAUCAUUUAAAUCGGCAAGUCAUCCUUGGCUGCACACUACUUUCG
rnacentral:pre_miRNA from 1 species